UUUAAUUGCACUAACUUGUUUUGGUUUUUGUUUUGCUUUUGUUUUUGUUACCAAAUGGUGAACCUUUUGUUUAUUUAUGCAAAUUACCAGCGGCGUUUCGGUGGUUGUGGUGAAGGCUGAUAAGCUCCCUUUCUGCCUCUGCCUCUGCCUCUCUGCCUGUACGUAAUGAUUGUGAAUCUGCCCCGCGGCCUAAGAGACUGGGAGAUUGUGAACAGCAAGAUUUGAAGCCAGUUUUCUCAAUUUCGAUUCCACAAAAAUUUAUUAAAAGAGGCUUUACCAAUCGAUCGUGGCUAAAAAUCAUCAAUAAUCAAAUCUAUAGGCUGUCGCUCUUAAGCAAUUAUGGCGAUAAGGGAAUCGAGAACGGGCCUAUUUUCCUGCGACUUUCACGAUAUUGCGGUUUUGUGCACUGUCGUAGGCGUUGCUUAAAGAGCGAACAGGUUUGCGCCUGAAAGUAUUUACGUGCAACCAGUUGGGGCUCCAACGGCAGUUUUCCCCACCCCAGCCACAAGGCCUGGUUGGCCCUACUAUGGCUUCGGGCAUGGCUUCCGCUUUUAAUUACAUGCAGCGGGGGUGAGGCAGAGAGGAGGAGAGAGGUAUACGUUGUAAUUAGAACGUGGCUUCGAAACUUUAUUUUUUGGAUCCGAAAACAGCGAGCCCUAACUGUAUCCGUCAUAUUUGUCUUUCCCGCUGCUGACAUUGCUAAUUAACAAGUGGUGCUCCGUACAAUUAACCUUAUGGCGUUCCGUAUGUAAAUGUAUUUCCCCCAGACGAUCAGAUAGAUUCUAGAAGAACAACAACUACCGAACAACCGAACCCAAUUAUUGACAAUACAGAAACGAUUAUGAAUCACUUGUUGACUAUGAAUUUCCAGUUUCCUCUCCAGCGUGGCGUACAUCUGGCAAAUGGCAAAUUACAAAUUAAGUAACAAAUGGAAUUGUCUCUCAAGGGGAAUGAAAUGCCAUUAUGAUGAAGGAAAAGCUCUCGGUAGCGCGGAUUUGGAAAGCAGCAUGCGUCACACUUGAGUUAAUUCGCAAAUUAUCAUCCCACUUAUCCACCACCCCCCCA